UAUUUUUUAAAGCAUUGUUUCAUUUUUGAAUGAAAACGAAAUGACAGUUUCUUGGAAAAAUGACACUGUAGUGACAAUAUUAUGUAAAUCAUUCGGUGAAAGCUAGGCCUAAUGGUAAACUGGAAAUCACUAAUCAGUCGUGGGCCCAGUCUGCAGGCAGACUGGUUAGUACUUGUAAACUGCUUCUUUUGAGUUGGUCUCAUAGACAACCAGAGAUUAAGGCUCUGAGCAUGAAACCACCUCAAGACUGAAAUUAAUGAGAAGUUACAAGCUUAGUUAUCACCUACUGGUAGGUGUGGAAAGUGGUUCUCUCUGCUAAAGUGGCAAACGGAACCGUUAAGCUGACAGAUCUGACUAUGCAAGAUGUAAAGUCAGUCUAGCAACUACUGUAAAACCAUGCCUUUUAGCCACCUGUUUGAACUGGUGAGUUUCUUUAAAUGCUGAUUGGACUUAUUAUAUGUUGUGAGAAUAUACAUGUAGUACAAGCAAAGAACAUAAAUGUACAGUUGUGCACAGUUGCAAGAUGGUAUUCUGCUGUUGCAAGAGGGGACUUGCAAGUUCACACAGAUAUCUUUCUAUACAGGUGGGGGCUCUCGCAAACUAACGUAGAUAAAAGACGUUAUUUUUUGGUAGUUUCUAGAUUGAAUAAACAUCUGUCUGCCGACUUUGGCCAUGGGUUGGCUUAUUCUGAAACACAUGUCCCUAGCAGCAAUAAAACCAGUCAAAUUGUGAAAGUAGAGGAAAUGUAACCCUUUGUUAGAUGUUGGUGCAUUUUAAUUUUAUUGAGUAAGAAGAUGUAAGUAUCACUGAAUGGUACACUAUCCACAGAUUCAGAAGGACUCUCUGAUUAACAAGCCCUUAGUUCUUGUACUUGUAAAUCACUGUUGUUCACAUACUAUUGGGUUUCAGGUUAAAUAUUUCAGAACUUCAUGGUGCACAAAUUUUGUUUCAAGCCAGAACUAGCAAUGGCCUUUGUCAAGAGCUGAAAUCUGUGGACCCCUUCUUCAUGAUGAACAGAUCUGUGUAGAAGUUAGCUGCAAGCAUAGAGGCUGUUUCCUGGAAGAAAGGACUUCCCAUUCAAUCUAUGAUCGGCAUAAGCUUCAGCUGUGAUAUUCCAGAUGAGAAGCUCUCCAGGUAUUCUCCAGAGUCUAGACAGUUAUCAGGUAUGGCUAGGAUGUGUAGCUGAGGAUGUUUCCUGAAGGACUGCUCACCUGACAGUAGGUUACAGAGACAGGCAGCCAGCCAGUAUAGUUGACACUAAUGAUGCGAUAACAAGUGAAGAUAGGAGAGGUUUAUUACAAAGAAUUUUUCAGGAUUUCUGAUCUCUGCCGAUUGAUGUUUGUGGCGAAGUUAUUUGGUAGUUGAUGAGACAAGGUAACAGAAGCAUCACAAGAGAACAAGUUGGUGGGUAUCAUUUCUGUGUGGGGAUGCCUGAUGGAUGAUAGAGGGCUUGCUGCGGGGAUGCUGGGCAUGUUUCCAUUUGGAAGCUGCCAUGAUGGAUAGCCAUUGUCAGCAGUGAGGAAUCAGUGCGUAGCCAUCCAAAUGUCACCUUCCACUGAUGCUAUUAUCUCAUUAUAUGAUCAUCUCCUUCUUCACCUCCCUCCCAGCCUCCCUCCCUUAGAUUGCCUGGGCACCCAGCAUGGGCUCAAGGCCAACCAACCAUCCAAGCCAAUAGAUUAAAAGAUUGUCAUUUGGCGUAAAAUAUGUGCACGAAGCAGGGUCUUCCGUGGGGAACAGUUGGAUUACAGCCGAGGUGGAACCAAUUAGCCGGACCUAGGGCACAGAACACCCUCUAAACUCUUUGAGUUCCUGGACAAAAAUCAAUCAAAACAACAAAACAUGGAGAUGUCUAUUGAAUUGACAAGUAUCUGUUUUUCAGCUUUUGAUAUGUGGUAGUGAAGAGUUAACCUUUAAACUUAAGUGUGAUUUAAUUAAGGCUGUGACCUUGUGACCUGACAUGUGGUACAUUUCACAUACCUGAACCAGCUGAACAACUUGGGAAUUAUCACUGCCCUUAAGAUUUGUUUUUCACCUGGUGCUUUGAUUAACGUACACAUAGACUUUGUGCCAGAUUUGAUUCUCUAAUUGUCACUGUAUUAUUUCAGUGGGUAGAAGGUUGAAUUCCUGGUUGUUGGGUAAGCUUUAAUGUAAAUACACCUUACUAUCAAUACUGGGCUAGAUGAAAGAAUUACAAGUAACAAAAGUAUCACUUGCAGGGCACCUCAUGGCUAAGAAACCAGGAUGCACGGAGUAGAUCAGAGGUCAUGCAAUAAUCCGUCACAUUGUUGUGCUCUGAUAAAAACUGUAGUGUUAAAAAAACAGAAGUGUCAAGUUUAAAGGUGGAGAAAACAUAAAAAUGACAUAAAGUUCAGAUGAAAGAGUGCAAAAAGUUAUUCCUAAAUGUGGUCUUCAAUAUUUUUUCCCAUUUUUCCUUAAGGAGAAAAAGACACUUGAAAAUAAUUUUUGUAUGGUGGGUAUUUGGGACCACCUUUUGGUAUUUAUAGUCUGUUUAAUAAUGUCAUAAAUGAGGAUGUAACACAGAUUUAAAAAAUAUUUUUGCACUAGAAUUUGUUCUUUGCAGCUAACAAAUGUAUUAAACCUCAAUUUGGAUCAUAUUUAUAUUUUUAAUAUGUUCAUAAAUAUUAUUUGUUUGUUUAUUUGAUUGGUGUUCUAUGCCGUACUCAAGAAUAUUUCACUUAUACGAUGGCGGCCAGCAUUAUGGUGGAAGGAAACCGGGCACAGCCUGGGGGAAACCACGACCAUCCACUGGUUGCUGACAGACCUUCCCACGUACGCAUAGAUAUUAUCAUAAUUUAGGUUAAAUGCAUAUGUUUCGAUAUAAACUGCAAAUUUACAUGCAGAUAAAUUUAUUAACCAAGCAUCACAUCCUUAUUUAGAACAUUAUUAUGCAACAACGAUACAUACCAAAAGUUGGUCCCAAAAUCACACGAUACAAAAAUAUUUUCAAAUUCCCUUUUCUCCUGAAAAAAAAAUGCAAGAACAUAUUAAAGAUCAUAUUUGCAAAUAAGUUUUGAUGCUCUUUCAUUUGAUAUUGGCAUCAUUUUUAUGUUUUCUUCUCCUUUAAAUUGAAAUGCAAAGAACCUGUGACCUUGUGAGUCUUCAUACUUGUCAGGUUAACGCCAAGUACACAUCCUAAACACACAUGGUUAAGGGUCAACCUGCAAAGGUUUUUAAACUGAAACACGAGAAACAUGUUGACAACAUUUCUUUGCGAAAAUGGAAACCUUUGCAUUUUACCUUUAAGUACACCUGGUCAAGUACGCUACAUAAGCUUAACCUCACCAAUUCCUCCAAAAACCUAAAUAUGCAGUUAAUUAGUCUGUGUACACACAUAAUUUCUAUAAAAUUAAUUAUAGCAUUGAUAUUCAUGAAUGGAUAAUUUAAUUCUAUGUGUUUGACACUUUUAUUUGGAAUGAUAAUAUUUUUUGUAAUAUUAUAAGAUUGACCUUUUCAUAGUGGUAUGGCUUCUUUUCUACAUGACGUUUUUUAUGCGGGAUGUUGGCUUUAUGAAAUAAUCAAUGAAGCAAACACUAUUUUAAUGAAAUCUACAUGUUAAUAUUGGCUUUAGUGAUAUUGUUAAGAGAUGUGUUUAUAAUUUAUUCCAUUGCAUUCAGCUUGUUUUGUGUACCAUGGAAGUAAUUCAGUACAUGCAUUUCUUUCUUGGUUUUAGUAUCAAAGAAUUUCAGUCCUGAAUAACAAAUGUCUUCAUAAAAAGUAUUUACAGCGACAUGGUAUCUGCAGUCUGUUUAGAUAGAUGCCAUCAGAUUUAAGUUUUCAGGCAUGGAACUUCGCCUGUUUUCGCUUUUCCUGAAAUUUAUGUGAAAUAUAAGACUAAAUAUAUCAUCAAUCAUGAUAAGUGUGAAAUAUUGAUAUAUGCUUCUCUCUGUACUUUUUUUAUUUAUGGCUACUCUAUGUAAGGGCCAUUUUAGGACAGCUAAUGUAUCGUGAUUAACUCUCAUGCUUUCAUUGUCUACAGUUUCAGGUCUGGCCAUGAGCUUUUUACCUGGCUCAUAACUCUACACUACAUACACCUUUAGGCAGGUAGAUUGGCUGAGUGACAGGUUACAUCCUGAAACUGAUUACCUGUGUGCGGAGAACACCUGUAAUUAGCUCAUUAAUAAUGGCUGUUGGCAGGAGGAAAUAAGUCUAUCAGCGUUAAUCGCAGAGACAAUCACCUGUAAUCAAUGAGAUUGGAUAAAGGUGUUUGAAGAAUUGUUUUAAGCCAUGUCAGGUGAAAUCCAAGCCUGUAACUGACACCAGUUUGUGUAGGUAGGUUGAAGGCUUGGCUGAGGUGAGAAUUGAUUAAUUACCAGUGCUGAGUCUAAAGCUGAUCUAGGUAGAUUCUCAUCAGGGGCACUUUCAAGUUUGCCCCAAAACACACCUGCCUGAACUGGCUCAUUUUAAUUAAGGUUUUGUUGCACAAAUCUGGGCGGUAUUAGGGUUUCUUGGCUGCCCUCAGAACGUCCAGGUACAAUAGAAGUGCUCAAAGUCCAGGUGUUGUGAAUGGAGCUGGGUUGUGUUUAGAUUUGUCCUGACAUUGUCAAGGGGUGUAAUAAUGUGGAAUAUAAAACCAAAUAGUCUUCCUGGCUUUCUUGAAGACAUCACCUGCUUCAUUGAACGGCUUUGUUGCUCUGACUAGAGUAGAUUUGUUCUGGCUGCUUAAAUAUGAUUAUAAAGAAUCAAAUAGAGUUUAUCAAAAGACUUGAUUGAGUCAAGAUUAGUCUGUUCAAAGGUGUGAUCUGAACAAUUGUAUGAGAAAAUCCCCAUCAGAUUUUAUGUUUGUGGACUUUUUUUAUUGGAUCACGUGUUUGUUUAAUCUCUGAUCAGUGACAGUAAACCGAAAAAAUGAAA